rnacentral:rRNA from 1 species
AUUGAACGCUGGCGGCAUGCUUUACACAUGCAAGUCGAACGGAUUCAAGAGGCUUGCUUCUUGAGUUAGUGGCGAACGGGUGAGUAAAGCAUCGGAACGUACCCAGUUAUGGGGGAUAACGUAGCGAAAGUUACGCUAAUACCGCAUACGCACUGAGGUAGAAAGCGGGGGACCGAAAGGCCUCGCGCAAUUGGAGCGGCCGAUGUCGGAUUAGCUAGUUGGUGAGGUAAAGGCUCACCAAGGCGACGAUCCGUAGCUGGUCUGAGAGGACGACCAGCCACACUGGAACUGAGACACGGUCCAGACUCCUACGGGAGGCAGCAGUGGGGAAUUUUGGACAAUGGGCGAAAGCCUGAUCCAGCCAUGCCGCGUGAGUGAAGAAGGCCUUCGGGUUGUAAAGCUCUUUCAGACGGAAAGAAAUCUUUCGGGUGAAUAUCCCGGAAGGAUGACGGUACCGUAAGAAGAAGCACCGGCUAACUACGUGCCAGCCGCCGCAGUAA